UAAAUCAAUGGAGUCUUAUUGCUGG
rnacentral:piRNA from 1 species